rnacentral:rRNA from 1 species
CCCUUAGAUGUUCUGGGCUGCACGCGCGCUACACUGAAGCUAUCAACACGUUUUCCCUCCCUGAGAAGGGCGGGUAACCUUUUGAAUCAGCUUCGUGGUAGGGAUCGGGGCUUGCAAUUGUUCCCCGUGAACCAGGAAUUCCUAGUAGACGCGAGUCAUAAGCUCGCAUCGAUUAAGUCCCUGCCCUUUGUACACACCGCCCGUCGCUACUACCGAUUGAACGUUUUAGUGAGGAAUUUGGACCGACGCAUCUCAGUUUAACCGCUGGUUUGUGUUGGAAAGACUUCCAAACUUGAGCGUUUAGAGGAAGUAAAAGUCGUAACA